GCAGAUGUGGCAGAGUGGUCUUCUUAGAUUUAAGAACACAAUAAUGCGUCGGCCUUGAGCCAAGUCGAAAGAAAGCCGAUUCGCCUUCGGGCGAGCAGGAGUUCAAAUCUCCUCAUCUGCG
rnacentral:tRNA from 1 species